rnacentral:misc_RNA from 1 species
AGUUUUCUGGCUGGUUUAUCCUCAAAAUAUGAAACUAUUAAAUCUUAUAUUCUCUUUGGUUCUGAGAUUUUCUCUUUUCAUGAUACUUUUAGAUGUGUCCUUCGUACAAAAAGCACUCAUUUUUCACAACCUACUAACAGUGCUCUUUUUAAUCUAAAUAUAAGUGGACAAUAGGGAAAUAGAGGAGGUUAUAGAGGGGUUACUAACAUAAAU